CCUACGUGAGGCAGCAGUGAGGAAUAUUGGUCAAUGGGCGCGAGCCUGAACCAGCCAAGUAGCGUGAAGGAUUACUGCCCUACGGGUUGUAAACUUCUUUUAUAAAAGAAUAAAGUGAGGCACGUGUGCCUUUUUGUAUGUCCUUUAUGAAUAAGGAUCGGCUAACUCCGUGCCAGCAGCCGCGGUAAUACGGAGGAUCCGAGCGUUAUCCGGAUUUAUUGGGUUUAAAGGGAGCGUAGAUGGGUUGUUAAGUAAGUUGUGAAAGUUUGGGGCUCAACCGUAAAAUUGCAUUUGCUUCUGGCAGUUGUGAGUACAGUUGAGGUAGGCGGAAUUCGUGGUGUAGCGGUGAAAUGCUUAGAUAUCACGAAGAACUCCGAUUGCGAAGGCAGCUUACUAAACUGCCACUGACAUUGAUGCUCGAAAGUGUGGGUAUCAAACAGGAUUAGAUACCCUAGUGUC
rnacentral:rRNA from 1 species